UGUGGGUUGCCCAAGCGCUGGGGCGGGCAGCUUCCGCAUCUGCCCCUGAAGAAAGCAGCUUCAUUCAUAGGAAAAGGCUUCUGAAACCUUUUGCGAAGUGAGUUCCAGAGCCUUAUGAGGCAUGGACCACUAACCACCAGACACAGAGAGCUGUGAAGACUCUGAGGUCCUGCGUAGACAAGUAACAGACUCCAGAGUUCAUCCCAUUGUCUCUUGAGUAUACAGCUUUAUGACAUUCUCCUGGGUUUGAAGAAAUUUGACUAUUUUCCACAUCACAAUCACUAAGUUAACACAUUGCUAUGGACAUUCUUAACUUGAUAGGAUUUAGAAUGACUUAGAAGACACGCUUCUGGGCCUGUCGGUGAGGGCAUUUCCAGAGAAGCUUAACUGUGGAGAGAAGUCUGGCCCUUAAAGUGGGAAGUACCAUCCAACGGGCUGGGGUCUGGGGCUGAAGAAAAUGGAGAAAGUGAGUAGGUGUGGCAGCACUCAUCUCUCGGCUUCCUAAUUCCAGACACAAUGGACCAGCUGCCUCUUCUUUCCAUCACCAUGUCUUCCAGCCAUGAUGGACUUGAACCUAAAACCCUUUGCCAAAAUACCUUCUUUCCUUCAGAUGUGUUUUGUCAGGUGUUUGGUCACUGUCACUAACUAGUCAAUAUAAGCUUUCUAGGUCUAUUUCCCUACCACUCAGUAAGUGAAAGUGUGUUCUUCCAAAACCAGGUAUUAGAGUCCUCAUGUGACCUUAUUUGGGAGUAGGGCUUGUUAAGAAUCUAACCGGUGAAGAGGAGGCCAUUGUUGCAAUGGAUUGGGGUCCUUAAUCCACUACGAAUAGACUCUUAGCAAAUAAGGAGAUUUAGAGAAAGACACACAUGGAAGAAGUGAAGACUACAGGAAGACAAUGGAAGAAAUCUACAAAACAACUCCAAAGACUAUCAAUAAACCACAGACAUUAGGGAAGAGGCAUGGGUGGGCUUCCUCUCCCAUCCUUUAGAAGACACCAUCUCUGAUGACACCUUGAGCUCAGGCUUCCAGUCUCUAGGACUAUGCAGUAUUUGAGUAUCACCGUUGUAACCCACCUGGUUUGUGGGGUUCUGUUAUGACAAGCCUAGCAAACAAAUGUGUUUGCUUAUUUGACUUGUUUUGAGGAUUAAACAGGAUAUUUCAAACAAAUCAGAAACACACACAGGACACAAUAAGUUCCUGUUCUAAUCAUCCAACCUAAUCUCCCCCACCAGGCAUCUUAGAACACUUCUCUAAUCAAAGUCCCAGUGGGGAUGCAGAAGGCUCCUUUGCCAUGCUGUGGUGGUUUGAAUAAGAAUGGCCCCCAUAAAAUCAUAUGUUUGAAUGUUUGUUGGAGGAAGUGUGUCAUUGAGGUGGGCUUUGAGGUUUUAAAAACCCAUGCCAGGCCCAGUGUCUCUCUCUUCCUGCUGCCUGUGGAUCCAGAUGUAGAACCUCAGCUACCUCUCCAGCACCACAUCUGUCUGCAUUCUAUCAUGUUUCCCACCAUGGUAAUUAAUAAUGGACUAAACCAUUUGGGUGGAAGUAUUGUUUUAGUUAUUGACAUUUUUAUGUUCAAAGAGUCUGAAAUGUUUGGGUGGGGCUUCACCCCAGCUCCCUGGCAUCCCUUUAUCCAAAGAGUCUGGAAUGUUUGGUGGGAAGCUUCAUCCUAACCCCUGACAUCCAUUUUGGAAUGUUGGGUGGAAAGUUUCAUUUCAAGCCCCCUCCUCUGAGAAUUGCCUCAGUAUAAACUCCACCUCUGAAAAAGCCCACCAAAUGGUGAGCCCUCCCCAGAGAGGGUCAAGACCACUCCCAUAGGUUAUUUAAACCUCCCCCCAGAGAAGGAAUAUGUGGUCUUUCCAAUUCUCCUUUCCCCUCUCCGUGGUUUCAUGGUUUUCCUCCCCGGGGGCCUGAAGGGUCACCCAGGGAGUGCUGGCAUCUAUUAAACCUGGCCUUUUUCUAA